UACGUAGGGUGCGAGCGUUUGUCCGGAAUUAUUGGGCGUAAAGGGCUCGUAGGCGGUUUGUCGCGUCGGGAGUGAAAACUCAGGGCUUAACCCUGAGCCUGCUCCCGAUACGGGCAGACUAGAGGUAUGCAGGGGAGAACGGAAUUCCUGGUGUAGCGGUGAAAUGCGUAGAUAUCAGGAGGAACACCAGUGGUGAGACGGCUACUGGACCGAUGACUGACGCUGAGGCACGAAAGCGUGGGUAGCAAACAGG
rnacentral:rRNA from 1 species